rnacentral:rRNA from 1 species
UACGGAGGAUCCAAGCGUUAUCCGGAUUUAUUGGGUUUAAAGGGUGCGUAGGUGGCCUGGUAAGUCAGGGGUGAAAGACGGUAGCUUAACUAUCGCAGUGCCUUUGAUACUGAUAGGCUUGAAUGUACUUGAGGUAGGCGGAAUGUGACAAGUAGCGGUGAAAUGCAUAGAUAUGUCACAGAACACCAAUUGCGAAGGCAGCUUACUAAAGUAUGAUUGACGCUGAGGCACGAAAGCGUGGGGAUCAAACAGG